rnacentral:lncRNA from 1 species
AAUAACCAAUCUGAAAUAGUGGGGGAGAUCAAUGGAAGAAUUUUGGAAGAGACUCGGACCACCAUCAUUCCGAGGAGGACCUUAUCCAAUUGUAGUUGAAUAAUGGAUAAUGCAAAUUGAGAAAUUGUUUGAGAUCAUCAGACCUACCUCCAAGCAUAAGGUCCAUUUGAUAAGCUUUAUAAUUGAGGGAGUCGUCGCAUACUAGUGUUGCAUGAAAAAAGAGAUAUUGAAAGCUCUAGUGACCUAAGAAGUAUUUCUGAUAGCAUUCUAUGAGGAAUACUUUUGUUAGUACAUUAGCGACCAGAAGGAAGUUGAGUUCAUUGAGCUGAAAUAGGGCAAUAUUAGUGUCUAAAAGUAUGCAGAGAAAUUUACAAAGCUCUUCAUAUU